rnacentral:telomerase_RNA from 1 species
GUUAGGGAUGUCAGGGUGUGGAGAAAUGAAAUUAAUAACCUAACCUAAUUUCCUUACUGGGAGCCUUCGCUGGUAGGGGUACCCUUAGAGGGUAUAACUUACAGAAGGUUAAAAUUUGCUCUCGAUGUCCUUAAUUUUAUU